rnacentral:rRNA from 1 species
AACGAACGCUGGCGGCAUGCCUAACACAUGCAGGUCGAACGAGACCUUCGGGUCUAGUGGCGCACGGGUGCGUAACGCGUGGGAACCUGCCCUUAGGUUCGGAAUAACUCCCCGAAAGGGGUGCUAAUACCGGAUAAUAUCUUCGGCCCAAAGAUUUAUCGACUUUGGAUGGGCCCGAGUUGGAUUAGCUAGUUGGUAGGGUAAAAGCCUACCAAGGCGACGAUCCAUAGCUGGUCUGAGAGGAUGAUCAGCCACACUGGGACUGAGACACGGCCCAGACUCCUACGGGAGGCAGCAGUGGGGAAUAUUGGACAAUGGGCGAAAGCCUGAUCCAGCAAUGCCGCGUGAGUGAUGAAGGCCUUAGGGUUGUAAAGCUCUUUUACCCGGGAUGAUAAUGACAGUACCGGGAGAAUAAGCUCCGGCUAACUCCGUG